rnacentral:rRNA from 1 species
ACGCUGGCGGCAUGCCUUACACAUGCAAGUCGAACAGCAGCACGGAGCUUGCUCUGGUGGCGAGUGGCGAACGGGUGAGUAAUAUAUCGGAACGUACCCUGGAGUGGGGGAUAACGUAGCGAAAGUUACGCUAAUACCGCAUACGAUCUAAGGAUGAAAGUGGGGGAUCGCAAGACCUCAUGCUCGUGGAGCGGCCGAUAUCUGAUUAGCUAGUUGGUAGGGUAAAAGCCUACCAAGGCAUCGAUCAGUAGCUGGUCUGAGAGGACGACCAGCCACACUGGAACUGAGACACGGUCCAGACUCCUACGGGAGGCAGCAGUGGGGAAUUUUGGACAAUGGGCGCAAGCCUGAUCCAGCAAUGCCGCGUGAGUGAAGAAGGCCUUCGGGUUGUAAAGCUCUUUUGUCAGGGAAGAAACGGUGAGGGCUAAUAUCCUUUGCUAAUGACGGUACCUGAAGAAUAAGCACCGGCUAACUACGUGCCAGCAGCCGCGGUAAUACGUAGGGUGCAAGCGUUAAUCGGAAUUACUGGGCGUAAAGCGUGCGCAGGCGGUUUUGUAAGUCUGAUGUGAAAUCCCCGGGCUCAACCCGGGAAUUGCAUUGGAGACUGCAAGGCUAGAAUCUGGCAGAGGGGGGUAGAAUUCCACGUGUAGCAGUGAAAUGCGUAGAUAUGUGGAGGAACACCGAUGGCGAGGGCAGCCCCCUGGGUCAAGAUUGACGCUCAUGCACGAAAGCGUGGGGAGCAAAC